AUUGAACGCUGGCGGAAUGCUUUACACAUGCAAGUCGAACGGCAGCACGGACUUCGGUCUGGUGGCGAGUGGCGAACGGGUGAGUAAUGUAUCGGAACGUGCCCAGUCGUGGGGGAUAACGUAGUGAAAAUUACGCUAAUACCGCAUACGAUCUAUGGAUGAAAGCGGGGGAUCGCAAGACCUCGCGCGAUUGGAGCGGCCGAUAUCAGAUUAGGUAGCUGGUGGGGUAAAGGCCCACCAAGCCAACGAUCUGUAGCUGGUCUGAGAGGACGACCAGCCACACUGGAACUGAGACACGGUCCAGACUCCUACGGGAGGCAGCAGUGGGGAAUUUUGGACAAUGGGCGAAAGCCUGAUUCAGCCAUUCCGCGUGCAGGAUGAAGGCCCUCGGGUUGUAAACUGCUUUUGUACAGAACGAAAAGGUUUCUACUAAUACUAGGAGCUCAUGACGGUACUGUAAGAAUAAGCACUGGCUAACUACGUGCCAGCCGCCGCCGUAA
rnacentral:rRNA from 1 species